rnacentral:rRNA from 1 species
CCGCGUGUAUGAAGAAGGCCUUCGGGUUGUAAAGUACUUUCAGCAGUGAGGAAGGUGGAGUCGUUAAUAGCGGCCUCAUUUGACGUUAGCUGCAGAAGAAGCACCGGCUAACUCCGUGCCAGCAGCCGCGGUAAUACGGAGGGUGCGAGCGUUAAUCGGAAUUACUGGGCGUAAAGCGCAUGCAGGUGGUUUGUUAAGUCAGAUGUGAAAGCCCGGGGCUCAACCUCGGAAUUGCAUUUGAAACUGGCAGACUAGAGUACUGUAGAGGGGGUAGAAUUUCAGGUGUAGCGGUGAAAAUGCGUAGAGAUCUGAAGGAAUACCGGUGGCGAAGGCGGCCCCCUGGACAGAUACUGACACUCAGAUGCGAAAAGCGUGGGGAGCAAACAGGAUUAGAUACCCUGGUAG